UGCAAGUCGAGCGGAGAUUAUCGGGAUGAAAGCUUCGGCCGGAGUUCCUGGAAUUCAGCGGCGGACGGGUGAGUAACGCGUGAGCAAUCUGUCUCAGACAGGGGAUAACGCAGCGAAAGUUGCACUAAUACCGCAUGAGACCACAACGCCACAGUGGCGAAGGGGUCAAAGGAGCAAUCCGGUCUGAGGUGAGCUCGCGUCCCAUUAGGUAGUUGGUGAGGUAACGGCCCACCAAGCCGACGAUGGGUAGCCGACCUGAGAGGGUGAUCGGCCACACUGGAACUGAGACACGGUCCAGACUCCUACGGGAGGCAGCAGUGGGGAAUAUUGGGCAAUGGGCGAAAGCCUGACCCAGCAACGCCGCGUGAGUGAAGAAGGUCUUCGGAUUGUAAAUCUCUGUCCUAAGAGAAGAGGGGAAGACGGUAUCUUAGGAGGAAGCCCCGGCUAACUACGUGCCAGCCGCCGC
rnacentral:rRNA from 1 species